rnacentral:tRNA from 9 species
GGGUCGUUAGCUCAGUUGGUAGAGCAGUUGGCUUUUAACCAAUUGGUCGUAGGUUCGAGUCCCACACGACCCACCA